rnacentral:rRNA from 1 species
ACUCCUACGGGAGGCAGCAGUAGGGAAUAUUGGUCAAUGGGCGAAAGCCUGAACCAGCCAUGCCGCGUGUCAGAUGAAGGUCCUCUGGAUUGUAAAUGACUUUUCUACGGGAAGAAUGAGCCGUCUGCGGACGGAAGUUGACGGUACCGUAGGAAUAAGCACCGGCUAACUACGUGCCAGCAGCCGCGGUAAUACGUAGGGGUGCAAGCGUUGUCCGGAUUUACUGGGGUUUAAAGGGUACGUAGGCGGUUGUGCCAAGUCUGGGGUGAAAGUUUGCAGCUCAACUGUAAAAUUGCCUUGGAUACUGGUCGGCUAGAGUAGUGGAGCGGUGGCUGGAAUUUAUAGUGUAGCGGUGAAAUGCUUAGAUACUAUGAGGAACACCAAUUGCGAAGGCAGGUCACUGGUCACUAACUGACGCUGAGGUACGAAAGUGUGGGGAUCAAACAGGAUUAGAUACCCUGGUAGGAUAGCC